UACAGAGGUCUCAAGCGUUGUUCGGAUUCAUUGGGCGUAAAGGGUGCGUAGGCGGCGCGGUAAGUCGGGUGUGAAAUCUCGGAGCUUAACUCCGAAACUGCAUUCGAUACUGCCGUGCUUGAGGACUGGAGAGGAGACUGGAAUUUACGGUGUAGCGGUGAAAUGCGUAGAUAUCGUAAGGAAGACCAGUGGCGAAGGCGGGGUCUCUGGACAGUUCCUGACGCUGAGGCACGAAAGUGUGGGGAGCGAACAGG
rnacentral:rRNA from 1 species